GUGCCAGACUCCUACGGGAGGCAGCAGUGAGGAAUAUUGGUCAAUGGGCGCGAGCCUGAACCAGCCAAGUCGCGUGAGGGAUGACGGCCCUACGGGUUGUAAACCUCUUUUGCCGGGGAGCAAAUUCCGCCACGUGUGGCGGAGUCGAGAGUACCCGAAGAAAAAGCAUCGGCUAACUCCGUGCCAGCAGCCGCGGUAAUACGGAGGAUCCGAGCGUUAUCCGGAUUUAUUGGGUUUAAAGGGAGCGUAGAUGGGUUGUUAAGUCAGUUGUGAAAGUUUGCGGCUCAACCGUAAAAUUGCAAUUGAUACUGGCAGCCUUGAGUACAGUUGAGGUAGGCGGAAUUCGUGGUGUAGCGGUGAAAUGCUUAGAUAUCACGAAGAACUCCGAUUGGGAAGGCAGCCUACUAAACUGCCACUGACAUUGAUGCUCGAAAGUGUGGGUAUCAAACAGGAUUAGAUACCCUCGUAC
rnacentral:rRNA from 1 species